GACGAACGCUGGCGGCGUGCUUAACACAUGCAAGUCGAACGGAAAGGCCCUGCUUUUGUGGGGUGCUCGAGUGGCGAACGGGUGAGUAACACGUGAGUAACCUGCCCUUGACUUUGGGAUAACUUCAGGAAACUGGGGCUAAUACCGGAUAGGAGCUCCUGCUGCAUGGUGGGGGUUGGAAAGUUUCGGCGGUUGGGGAUGGACUCGCGGCUUAUCAGCUUGUUGGUGGGGUAGUGGCUUACCAAGGCUUUGACGGGUAGCCGGCCUGAGAGGGUGACCGGCCACAUUGGGACUGAGAGACGGCCCAGACUCCUACGGGAGGCAGCAGUGGGGAAUAUUGCACAAUGGGCGGAAGCCUGAUGCAGCAACGACGCGUGCGGGAUGACGGCCUUCGGGUUGUAAACCGCUUUCGCCUGUGACGAAGCGUGAGUGACGGUAAUGGGUAAAGAAGCACCGGCUAACUACGUG
rnacentral:rRNA from 1 species